AAUUGCUGCCGGCUAGAUGUAAGCGAAUUGCGGCAGCUAAAUGGCAGACGACCAAACAAAACAUUUUUCUAAUCAAUUUAGCUUGUGUUCAAAUUAAUCACCUACACACAGAUGACUUCAAGAUGAAUCUUCAAGUGCGCAGCGUUGACCAAUGAGUGGUCAGUGCCUUGGCUGCAACAACAACUAAAACAGCAACAACAACAAGGCAUUGGAAUAAUAUUUGAUGAUCUCGAUGCAGCUUUCAAGCAACCCGGCGAGUAAUUAAGCAGCAAGUUCCAAAAGAUCAGCAGAUAAAGCAUGUGUGAGUGUCGACACCCACCUAUUGGCGCCCAAUUUCUGGCCCGAGCACACACACACAUAUUCGAAAUAAUCAUGGACAGACAUACAUACAGACUGAGGACAACGACGUCUGGCAACGACUCACGGUCAAGUUGAAAAACAUUGAGAGUGCGGAUCGUUAGCAACGGAUGCUGCUUGGAGGAUCAGAGCUGUUUUUUGUUUAUGGAGGUCAAAACUACACUAUUUGUUUUUGUUUCGAUCUCGCGUGUGUCACGUUAACCCAAUAAAUAAAACAGUUGUAAAUAGUGCUAACAAC